GCGUGCUGCGGCGCUGGGUGAGCGGGCGGCUGAGGGCGGGCGGCUGAAGGCGAGCCCGGGCCUCGCCGUGGGGCAGCGGCCGGCCGGGGGGGACGUGGCCGCUGGCGCUCGGCCGCGGCAGGGAGCGCCUGGUGGCGGCAGCGGGCGGGCUGAGGCGGGCGGCCGGGACCGGCGGGGCUGCCGGCUGUUCUCGUCUCCCCGGCAGUGACGGUGGCCAGCGGGCUCCUCACGGUGCUGCUUUUUUUUUUUUUUUCUCGGAGCUGCGCAGCUACCUCGGCGAGGAGGUUCGUCUGGAAUUGUACGUUGACUCAUCAAGGGGAGCUAAAGUGAAGAUCAAUCGCGUAUGCCUUGUGCUUGUGAGCCAGACUGCUGACUGCGGAGGGAUAACUUUUGUACUCGCCGAGGGCCCACGAGGCUCCGUGUGCCCACCGCCCCAGAGUGCUGCGCUGCUGCUUGGGCGACAGCUGGGGAGGAAUUGGUGGUCCCUCGUAGUUACGUGGCCAGGCCUGCUGGGCACUUAAACUAGUGCAUCCAGUCAGGUAGUAUUAUUUUUCUAGAUUGUAAAUGAGCCUGAGGUUAAAACCUACUUACGUUUCUGUGUGGUGGUGUACUUCGUCAGAGAGCUCAGUUGUACUCACAGAGCUGGCACAGAGUUCCCUUGGGACUCCAGAUUUGACUGUCUUGUUGAAAGGCUUCAGAGCCUGCUUUGGAAGUCACUUGGCAAGACACAGCUUUGCCAUGAUUUUGGUACCUGAGUUCUGACUGUAAUGCCAAUGCCACAUGUUAGCCUUUCUUCAGAAGUUUUAAAAGCAGAGUGAGCGUUAAUAAUCCGAUUACCUUUUAAAUAAACUCAAAACAAAAUUGCGGGAUGAAGUGACUGCAAGUCUGACUGGGUGUUACUGCUGUGCAUGUUAUCCACCUGUUUACCGAUCGUUCCUGCCUCUUGUUCUGUUGUAGUAAUUCCUUUGGGUAACACAUUGGGCUCUAAAUGUAGUGCAUCUCGACUUCCUUCUGAUCCCCAGAGAUGUUCUCAGUCUUUGUCUUCCUCACAUUUAACAGGGUGUGGGAAGGCCACAGAGACUGGAAGCUUCAGCUGUGGUGUGCGGAGAAGCUGUCAGCCUUCUAAGAGAGCACGUAGCCAGCAAGUGCAUUGGUGGUGCUUCGGUGCUGAGCAAGACCACAGACCUGUCUUCUUUGUGAAAAGGGAUCACAAGGAAAUGUGCUGAUGUUGAAGGGGGAAAGGUGGCAGGGGAAGAGAUUUGAGCGUCGAUCCCAUGGACGUAGUGGGAGAGCAGCAGCUGGAUGUAGAGCACAAUCUGUUUAAACAACGUUUGGAUAAAGCUACCAAUUGUGGGACUCCAGAAGCAGAGAGACACAGUAAGAUGCUACUCUGCCUUUCUUGGAUGGAUGCUCUCAUAGCAGGCAUACAGUGAUGGAAAGACUAUGAGGUUCAUGGGAACAAGGGAUGGCUGAAUUCAGAGUGUUUUAAACACUAUAAACUCUUGAAGAGUGUAUAGGAUGCCAAUCUAUUACACUGGUAGGUGAGACAAGCUCCUGUUAUACUCGGUAGUUUUGCGAGGCAAAUCUUUGCCUAGUCUUUCUGAAAUUGCAACAAGGACUCAUGGCUGUAUUUCAGGAGUAGAGCUACUGAGUCAAUAGGCUUUUCCUACUAGAAAUCGAUCGGCUCUUCUGGCAAAACUUGAAUUUGUUUGCAUCUUCAAAUCCUAGGAGGCUGACUGUCCUGGUUUCAGCUGGGAUGGAGUUAAUUUUCUUAGGAGCUAGUGGAGUGCUGUGGUUUGGCUAUGAUGCAAGAACAAUGCUGAUAACCGCACUGAUGUUUUUAGUUGUAAGUCAAGGACUUGUCGGUUUCUUGGGCCUUGCUAACCAGGGGGCUGGGGGGGCACAGGACACUAGGAGGGGACAUAGCCAAGACAGGUGACCUGAACCAGCCAAAGAGGUAUUCCAUACCAUGGGACAUCAUGUUUGGCAUAGAAACUUGUAGGGUUACCUGGGGGGGGAUUGUUACUUGGGGACUGGCUGGGCAUCUGUUUGCAGGUGGUGAGCAGUUGCACUGUGCAUCACUUGGUGGUUUUUUCUUUCCUUUUCCCUUCCUUUGGAUUUUACCCUUUUCUCCCCUCCUUUCCAUCCUAAUUGUUGUUUUAUUAUUA